rnacentral:rRNA from 1 species
GAUGAACGCUGGCGGCGUGCUUAACACAUGCAAGUCGAACGAGAAGUGAAGACGGAAACCUUCGGGCGGAAGGCUUUAUUUCGAGUGGCGGACGGGUGAGUAACGCGUGGGUAACCUGCCUCAUACAGGGGGAUAACAGUUGGAAACGACUGUUAAUACCGCAUAAGACCACAGCACCGCAUGGUGCGGGGGUAAAAACUCCGGUGGUAUGAGAUGGACCCGCGUUCGAUUAGCCAGUUGGCGGGGUAACGGCCCACCAAAGCGACGAUCGAUAGCCGAUCUGAGAGGAUGACCGGCCACAUUGGGACUGAGACACGGCCCAAACUCCUACGGGAGGCAGCAGUGGGGAAUAUUGCACAAUGGGGGAAACCCUGAUGCAGCGACGCCGCGUGAGUGAAGAAGUAUUUCGGUAUGUAAAGCUCUAUCAGCAGGGAAGACAAUGACGGUACCUGAGUAAGAAGCCCCGGCUAACUACGUG